CUCUCGUGUUUUUUCAGUGUUUCUGACUGAGUGAAACUCUUUCCACAGUGUGAGCACUUGUAAGGUUUUUCUCCAGUAUGAAAUCUCUCGUGUUUUUUCAGGUGUUCUGACUGAGUGAAACUCUUUCCACAGUGUGAGCACUUGUAAGGUUUCCCUCCAGUAUGAAAUCUCUCGUGUUUUUUCAGGUGUUCUGACUGAGUGAAACUCUUUUCACAGUGUGAGCACUUGUAUGGUUUCUCUCCAGUAUGAAUUCUCUCAUGUGUUUUCAGGUUUACUGACUGAGUGAAACUCUUUCCACAGUGUGAGCACUUGUAAG